ACGAAUGACUCUCGGCAACGGAUAUCUUGGCUCCUGCCASGAUGAAGAACGUAGCGAAAUGCGAUACUUGGUGUGAAUUGCAGAAUCCCGUGAAUCAUCGAGUUUUUGAACGCAAUUUGCGCCUGAGGCCAUUCGGCKAAAGGCACGUCUGUGGUGGGCCUCACCCUGGAGCGUC
rnacentral:rRNA from 1 species